rnacentral:rRNA from 1 species
UACGGAGGGUGCGAGCGUUGUCCGGAAUCAUUGGGCGUAAAGGGCGCGUAGGUGGCGGCUUAAGCGUGCGGUGAAAGCUCGGGGCUCAACCCCGAGUCGGCCGUGCGAACUGAGUCGCUUGAGCACUGUAGAGGCAGGCGGAAUUCCGGGUGUAGCGGUGGAAUGCGUAGAGAUCCGGAAGAACACCGGUGGCGAAGGGCGGCCUGCUGGGCAGUAGCUGACACUGAGGCGCGACAGCGUGGGGAGCAAACAGG